CUGCCAUCCCCUCCACGUCUAUUCAUCAUGCUAUGUUGAGUGUGAUUUAUGAAGCUCCAACAUCAAUUCAAGAGGAUCGAUUCCUAAUCCAGAGGAGGGAGAAGCUAAAUAAAGCUGGCUUCCCGAAACUACUCAUGAAAGGAAACCUUCAAUGUGACAAAAAUGAUAAGAACUCUGUGAACAAAAGAGGCAAAAGUUAUCAAUAAGGCAGCUUGGGUCACCGGGCCAGGGAGAUGGGAGGAUUUGAACCUCAGAAUAUUCUAACUAGGCGAGCAAUGUCACACUGCUGAUGCAGAGUGUCAGAUACAAUCAGAUCUUACCCACUUGAGGGUUUCUUGUGUCCCAUUAAACUUAACUGCCUGAGGACUCACUCUGUUCAAUGUUUGAAGUGGAACUGAGAUUUAAG
rnacentral:lncRNA from 1 species